rnacentral:rRNA from 1 species
CGGGGUGGAGUAUCGCGUAGGGAGUUUAUCGUUGGGUGGGGGAGUAACCGCGGGAAACUGCGGCUAAUACCGCAUGACGCCUGUGGGCCAAAGGUCUUCGGACUGCCUGAUGAGGAGCCUGCGUCCGAUUAGCUAGUAGGUUGGGUAAUGGCUGACCUAGGCUGUGAUCGGUAGCUGGUCUGAGAGGAUGAUCAGCCACACUGGGACUGAGACACGGCCCAG